AUUGAACGCUAGCGGGAUGCCUUACACAUGCAAGUCGAACGCGUGGCGAACGGGUGAGUAAUGUAUCUGAACGUGCACAGUCCUGGUGGAUACCUAUGAGAAUGGUAGCUUAUACCGCAUACUAUUGGCACCGCCGUUAACGGAAUAGCUAGUUGGUGGGGUAAAGGCUCACCACGGCGACGGCCCGUAGCUGGUUUGAGAGGACGACCAUCCACACUGGGACUGAGACACGGCCCAGACUCCUACGGGAGGCAGCAGUGGGGAAUUUUGGACAAUGGGGGAAAGCCUGAUGCAGCCAUGCCGCGUGUGCGAAGAAGGCCUUCGGGUUGUAAAGGACUUUUGGCAGGAAAGCGGUACCUGCAGAAGAAGCACCGGCGAACUACGUGCCAGCCGCCGCGGUAAUAC
rnacentral:rRNA from 1 species